rnacentral:tRNA from 1 species
GCCCAGGUGGCGGAACUGGUAGACGCGCUACUUUGAGGGGGUAGUGAUCGAUAGGUCGUGCAGGUUCGAUUCCUGUCCUGGGCA